UAUGCAAUCCGCUAUCUGUAUUCGUGAACAGUUAUCGUAAGUCACGGCUCUGGCUCAUUAAUUAAUUUCCCGGGCUAAUGAUGUCAGUUAGAUUUCUGCAAACAAACCACGAGGAACGUGCUGGAGUGCGUGCGUACUGAAGUAUAUAUACCCGCUACGGCCAUGUCGACGUAGCGAGAUAGAAAAAGACAGAGAAUCAGGCAGACGCGAGACUGAGAGAGAUGGAUAUAGAACGCUUUGCAACCAGUCAUUCCUAAUGGAUUCUGCAUUGAUCCUUAUUAUCAUAAACAGAGUGUUUAUCGAUAGGCGUGUUGUGUAAUUUAAUGAAUCUGAAUAUAUCGUUCCGACCAGCAUGACACCGUUGAACACCGAUGUUUUUCCCGUCAAUUUUCACGGGGGCGGUGGUCGGUUAAUGGAAAAGGAGGAAGUGAACCUGAUCGAUCCCCGGAUGUUAUGUUAUAAUUAUCCUGUAACACCAGGGACUGUGUCGAAAUGUUUGAAAGGACAGAGCAACGUGUAUGAAACUGAUAUUGUAAGAAAAACCACUAUUUUUAUCUUAAAACCACAAAGCAAGGUUAAACAAGACAUUAAAAAGAAGUCAUAACGAACGACGGAAUUUAGUGCUUACAACAAUCAAUAACUCUAAUGAGUGUAUCAGGGCAACAAGAAGGUCGGACGUUCAACCGAUUUCACGAGACACAUGUCGACACGAGAGGCGAGAAUUAACAGUGUCAACUUGUUCCCUCGAAUCAAUUCUCGUCGCACUAUCUCGAAGGUUUACAAAUGGCGAUACCUCACAUUUCAUUUAUGUAGUUACAGAGCGUACACAAUACGCACAUACGAACAAACAAUCGUAUCAAAUAAACCGAUUGUAUUUAUCCGAAAUGUUCUCGGAAAUGUUCGACUGCAGAAAGAGUUCCAGCAAGCAAAUGGUUAUAAUUAAAAAUCCGACGACAGCUUGACUAUAAAUUAAAAAGGAAAGAGAAGAAUCUACAUGGAAAAUUUGACACGACGCAAGAUUUACGAGGAAAACUUGACUCAUAACGAAACUGAGAGCUCUAAAGUUACGAACCGUACGAUCUUUCGUAAUUUUCACGUUUUUGCUUUACGAACGUCCUUCUAGGCGUUUCUGUCCGUCCUAUAUGCAAUGUCGUGGACGUCACAAUGUCUCGUUAUUCUAUUCAACCUUGCUUUAUGUUACGAUUGCGUUGCACCUGUAAAGUUCUGAUUCCGAUAAGCGGGAAACGUUAAUGUUUUAACGAAUCCGGUGUCUAUCGGUGCCCUAUUAAUACUGCAUCGCUAUUUAAGCAUCGUGAAACGUUCUUUUUUCCCCCUUCUUUCGUCCUCUGCAUCUCACGGUCAAGGGAACUACCCGCGGGCAAUCCGAUCGCCUCGCACCAAUAAAAAUCGUAUUCUUAAUUGUGUUUUGUUUCUGCCGUUUCUCCAACGAUAUAGUCGCGUAACACAACCGAUGAUUGCCGUGAUUAACGAAGAAGUGACUUCUUUUUGUCCUUUGACCGUUAUGAAAUAUACUGUCUGAAGUUAAAGCUACAUCGAGUCGUCAAAUAACACACGAUCCCUCGAAUGGGUCGCCAGAUAAAAACUGGAAUGGUAGUAAAUUCGUCCAACGGCCGUGUCAGAUUCCUUAGCGCGCAGACUGUUUACAAACAUCAGUGAACCAUUCGUAUUUGACUUUAGUAACGGACUUCUGGUUGAAGGUGAUUAACGUAACAUGUAU
rnacentral:lncRNA from 1 species